AGAGUUUGAUCCUGGCUCAGGACGAACGCUGGCGGCGCGCCUAACACAUGCAAGUCGAACGGAGCUUAGAGAGCUUGCUUUUUAAGCUUAGUGGCGAACGGGUGAGUAACGCGUGAGUAACCUGCCCUAGAGUGGGGGACAACAGUUGGAAACGACUGCUAAUACCGCAUAAGCCCACGGUACCGCAUGGCACUGAGGGAAAAGGAUUUAUUCGCUUUAGGAUGGACUCGCGUCCAAUUAGCUAGUUGGUGAGGUAACGGCCCACCAAGGCGACGAUUGGUAGCCGGACUGAGAGGUUGAACGGCCACAUUGGGACUGAGACACGGCCCAGACUCCUACGGGAGGCAGCAGUGGGGGAUAUUGCACAAUGGGGGAAACCCUGAUGCAGCGACGCCGCGUGGAGGAAGAAGGUCUUCGGAUUGUAAACUCCUGUUGUUGAGGAAGAUAAUGACGGUACUCAACAAGGAAGUGACGGCUAACUACGUGCCAGCAGCCGCGGUAAAACGUAGGUCACAAGCGUUGUCCGGAAUUACUGGGUGUAAAGGGAGCGCAGGCGGGAAGACAAGUUGGAAGUGAAAUCUAUGGGCUCAACCCAUAAACUGCUUUCAAAACUGUUUUUCUUGAGUAGUGCAGAGGUAGGCGGAAUUCCCGGUGUAGCGGUGGAAUGCGUAGAUAUCGGGAGGAACACCAGUGGCGAAGGCGGCCUACUGGGCACCAACUGACGCUGAGGCUCGAAAGUGUGGGUAGCAAACAGGAUUAGAUACCCUGGUAGUCCACACCGUAAACGAUGAUUACUAGGUGUUGGAGGAUUGACCCCUUCAGUGCCGCAGUUAACACAAUAAGUAAUCCACCUGGGGAGUACGACCGCAAGGUUGAAACUCAAAGGAAUUGACGGGGGCCCGCACAAGCAGUGGAGUAUGUGGUUUAAUUCGAAGCAACGCGAAGAACCUUACCAGGUCUUGACAUCCGAUGCAUAGCACAGAGAUGUGUGAAAUCCUUCGGGACAUCGAGACAGGUGGUGCAUGGUUGUCGUCAGCUCGUGUCGUGAGAUGUUGGGUUAAGUC
rnacentral:rRNA from 1 species